AGAGUUUGAUCAUGGCUCAGAUUGAACGCUGGCGGCAGGCCUAACACAUGCAAGUCGAGCGGAUGAAGGGAGCUUGCUCCUGGAUUCAGCGGCGGACGGGUGAGUAAUGCCUAGGAAUCUGCCUGGUAGUGGGGGAUAACGUCCGGAAACGGGCGCUAAUACCGCAUACGUCCUGAGGGAGAAAGUGGGGGAUCUUCGGACCUCACGCUAUCAGAUGAGCCUAGGUCGGAUUAGCUAGUUGGUGGGGUAAAGGCCUACCAAGGCGACGAUCCGUAACUGGUCUGAGAGGAUGAUCAGUCACACUGGAACUGAGACACGGUCCAGACUCCUACGGGAGGCAGCAGUGGGGAAUAUUGGACAAUGGGCGAAAGCCUGAUCCAGCCAUGCCGCGUGUGUGAAGAAGGUCUUCGGAUUGUAAAGCACUUUAAGUUGGGAGGAAGGGCAGUAAGUUAAUACCUUGCUGUUUUGACGUUACCAACAGAAUAAGCACCGGCUAACUUCGUGCCAGCAGCCGCGGUAAUACGAAGGGUGCAAGCGUUAAUCGGAAUUACUGGGCGUAAAGCGCGCGUAGGUGGUUCAGCAAGUUGGAUGUGAAAUCCCCGGGCUCAACCUGGGAACUGCAUCCAAAACUACUGAGCUAGAGUACGGUAGAGGGUGGUGGAAUUUCCUGUGUAGCGGUGAAAUGCGUAGAUAUAGGAAGGAACACCAGUGGCGAAGGCGACCACCUGGACUGAUACUGACACUGAGGUGCGAGAGCGUUGGGAGCAAACAGGAUUAGAUACCCUGGUAGUCCACGCCGUAAACGAUGUCGACUAGCCGUUGGGAUCCUUGAGAUCUUAGUGGCGCAGCUAACGCGAUAAGUCGACCGCCUGGGGAGUACGGCCGCAAGGUUAAAACUCAAAUGAAUUGACGGGGGCCCGCACAAGCGGUGGAGCAUGUGGUUUAAUUCGAAGCAACGCGAAGAACCUUACCUGGCCUUGACAUGCUGAGAACUUUCCAGAGAUGGAUUGGUGCCUUCGGGAACUCAGACACAGGUGCUGCAUGGCUGUCGUCAGCUCGUGUCGUGAGAUGUUGGGUUAAGUCCCGUAACGAGCGCAACCCUUGUCCUUAGUUACCAGCACCUCGGGUGGGCACUCUAAGGAGACUGCCGGUGACAAACCGGAGGAAGGUGGGGAUGACGUCAAGUCAUCAUGCCCCUUACGGCCAGGGCUACACACGUGCUACAAUGGUCGGUACAAAGGGUUGCCAAGCCGCGAGGUGGAGCUAAUCCCAUAAAACCGAUCGUAGUCCGGAUCGCAGUCUGCAACUCGACUGCGUGAAGUCGGAAUCGCUAGUAAUCGUGAAUCAGAAUGUCACGGUGAAUACGUUCCCGGGCCUUGUACACACCGCCCGUCACACCAUGGGAGUGGGUUGCUCCAGAAGUAGCUAGUCUAACCGCAAGGGGGACGGUUACCACGGAGUGAUUCAUGACUGGGGUGAAGUCGGAACAAGGUAGCCGUAGGGGAACCUGCGGCUG
rnacentral:rRNA from 1 species